UACGUAGGGUGCGAGCGUUGUCCGGAAUUACUGGGCGUAAAGAGCUCGUAGGUGGUUUGUCGCGUUGUCCGUGAAAACUCACAACUCAAUUGUGGGCGUGCGGGCGAUACGGGCAGACUGGAGUACUGCAGGGGAGACUGGAAUUCCUGGUGUAGCGGUGGAAUGCGCAGAUAUCAGGAGGAACACCGGUGGCGAAGGCGGGUCUCUGGGCAGUAACUGACGUGGAGGAGCGAAAGCGUGGGGAGCGAACAGG
rnacentral:rRNA from 1 species